rnacentral:lncRNA from 1 species
CUCCUCUGGGGCUGGUGUUCCAUCUACUCAGACACCUAGCUGCCCCUUUUAGGUGCUAUUUUGAUCCCUAUUUACAGUUGUGGAAACAGAGGCAGAGAGAGGUUAAGUGAUUUGCCCAGGUCUGAUUCCUAAGAAGUGUCUACAGCUGGAUUUAAACUUAGGUCUUCCUGUCUCUACCACCUGGCUGGCUCUAUUAGCUGUGUGACUCUUAACCACCAGCAGUGCCAGAAAACCCUCUUCUUCCCUGUUCCAGGCUCCUACUUGGGUCUCAGGAUCAUAGAUCUGGAGCUAGAAGGAGCCUUACAAGGCAACUAGCCCACUUGCCUCAUUUCACCAAUAACAAAAGUGAGGCUGAGGAACGGAGAGUGAUGUCCACAGUCACAGAGUAACUGCAUGGCGUCAAUGGAGGUGUCCUUUCUGAUCGGGAUCCUGGGAGGUUCUGUUCUGAUACAUCCAAACUCAGAAAUAGGAAAUGACACCUCAAGGAUUAGUUGGUAUCAUCAUUCACUUGAAGAGAAUCUGCACCUACUCACCAGCAGGCCAGGGGAGAGCAGUCCAAGCUGGAUCAUUCCCCAGAAGGAAUAUGAGAGGAGGCUGUCAACCCCUGAUGGGAAGUCUCUGGAGAUCCUGAAUCUGACCCUGGAAGACUGUGGGCUUUAUGUGGCUGAAAUCACAUCAGUCUCAGGAGUGUUCCAGACUGAAAAGUUCAAUUUAACCAUCUCUGUUUUAGGCCCUGAGACUACAGAUUCUAACAAGGAUCCAUGGAUUUGGGAGGUUCCCCUGCUUGUCAUAGUCCCGAUAAUGUUGGUGAUCAUUGUGGGGGCAGUUUUUUACUAUAUUAAGAAAGGCUGCUAUUACAAAAAUCAAGGUAACUUGAGGACAAGGAUGAUUAAAGCUCUACUGGAACAAUGGGGUUUGGGGAUGAAUUACAUUGAUUUUAUAUUUUGGAAAGGUGGGAGGAGGAAAUGAACCCUGAACCCUGGAGAUUCUAGUCAGUAGACUAAUUUCCUGGAAAGGAUACACCAAUUUUCCUUGGAGAGCCACUUUUCUCAUCUUUAGGCAUUCUCACAGGAGGAAACAUUACCAAUUGGAGGAGUUGAGGGGAUUAGAACAGUGAGGGGUUAAUUGUGGGAAUUGAAUGAAGCACAUUGACUACUCAAGGAUGGUCCUACUCUAAAUUCUAUCCUGUGAGAAAACUUAUUCAGUUAUGGAACUUGGGAGAAAUCCUUAUUGUAUAGUCUGAACCUAGUCCUGCAUGGCCCCCUAUGCCUUAUUUGUCAAGAAACUUAACCAAAGACCUGGGUUAUGUUGACCAGAAAUACAGUCAGAUCCUAAUAGGAUUAAUGUAGUUUUCUCAUAAUUAUACAUCUCAAGCAAAUUCUGUAUUGUAAAUGCCCAAACUGUAAGGAUAAUUUUUAGUGUUUUGACUUAAAAUCUAAAAUAAAUGGUCCCCAUGGGAAAUUCCCA